AAGCCGAGGUCACCGACGACGAGGAAGAAAUCAUUCAAGUUCCUAGACGUGGACGGAGAAGACACCGGCCUGGAGUAGUGAAGCGUAAAGGAGAGAUCAAGAAGAUAAAUUAAGGGUAAGGUGUACAAACAUCAUGUUAAUUGGUCGUUUUUUUCUUGCAUAAAACAUCGGUUUCUCAUUAGGUGCUCUGCAAAAUAAAAACGGCCAUAGAACAUAGCUUUUUUAUUCUGAAAUCUACAUUAGGUUUGUGGACUGCUGUCACUAAAAAGUUCGUCUGGCCAACCAUGCCUGUGUGAUUUUCGGAGGGAUUGUCAUUAUAAACUAUGCAUGAUAUUGUCUCAUCGCUUAUUCAUGGUUAUAUGUGUUGUAGGGUACCAGGCUAAUUGGUGUACUGCUGGAGCUAAGUUCGGUGUACUGCUAAUCGUUUAUAUUGGUGUUUAAUCAAUGAGGCUUAAUAAUUCAGUUCAGUGUACUUUUUUAUACUCAGCCAUGUUUGGAAAGAUAUUAAAUGUUUCGUAUCACUAUAAAAGGUAUUAUGUAUUCCUUGUGAGUUGCAGCAGAAAUUAGUAGCAAUCAAGCAGUUUUACGUAUUUCCCACCAAAAAGAACUUUGUGCACAUGAAAAGCUUCCUAACAAAUGACAUGAAGUACAUUGUGUAAGUACACAAGUAUUAGCCAGUGCUGAGUCAUUGAGUUUUUGUUCUGUAUUUACCCUGCAUCUCCUGUAGCUGCAAUCUUAUGGACCCAUCCAAUUCAAUCCCUGCCAACGUCUUGGCUAUGAUUCUCAACGGGCACGGUUGAUCUGCAUUAGCUUCAAUAGGACUAGAGUUUUCUGCCAUAGCUUCAUCCAUGGAGUAGAUAUUAAAUGGAACAGGAAUCAUACCCUUUAAUCUUGUAAUACAUAUGCGGGCUCAACCGUUGGACAUCAACGACAGAGAUACAAUGGCAUGUAAGCAUUGAACUAUAGUGGAAACUUAGAAGCAAAGGGACGCUUUGCGGCACUGUUUGUUUUCUGCCGGUUGAUGAUGGAGCUCUUUUGCAUGUUUGACAUGAAUUGUUUUCUACUAAAUGCAGAAUACUUGUAACCUCACAUCUAAUAAAACGAAAACCGUGAGACAUCCCCAUUAACAUCAUGAUCCCAUAAAACCAUAGUUUCUUUCUUCCAACCAACCCCCAAAAAUUCAACAUGUAUGCUGCAUAUGCACUGAAGAAAAAUUGAACAGAUAAAAGAUCAUUCUUGUUGACAUCAGGUGUUUUUUUUUUGAAUAGUUUGGAUAGCUUAGUACAUGUGUCACGUGGUUGUUUGAAAUCAGGUCUUUGGUAAUGCCCUAAACAGCUUUGAUUCUGCACAAUGCUCCUAAAUAGUAAAACGUUGGUGUACAAAUGCCAUCUAAACUAUGCAACAGGAAGGUCCAGGUAAUAUAGCAUAAAGCACAACAAUUUAGUAAAUCUUUACAGCUCCAUUUAUGGUUUGCACUAAAUUGUUUUAGCAAAUGUUCACAAUUAAUUCAUUUAGGGAUCCAACCUACAAAACUUCUCAACCAUCCUCUCACUACCACGUGUCCUGAUAAGGAAGAGGAGUAGAAGAAUUCAAUAUGGACUACAUACGGAGCAAAAUGAGUGAAUCUACACUCUAAACUACGUCUAUUAUACAUCUGUAUGUAGUCUAUAUUAAAAUCUCUAAAAAAAGACUUAUAUUUAGGAAUGGAGAGAGUAUGAGUCAUCCAGUGAGCAAUUCAGAGCAUUGUCUCUGCUAAAAUAAGCUGUAAAUCACACUGAACUAAUUUUAUGUAAAGAUGGCAUCUUAAAUGCAAAAUAGUAGGGCUAUAUACUCACUCGGAGACUUCCUUGCAAACAUUCAGUACCACCUAAUUUAGAUUGUAUUGUUCCUUCAGUUCCAGAGAAACAUCAACUCAUUUCCUCAACUGUAGAGCAUAUGCUAUAGAUAUAUCACAAAACUACAUAUUUGUAUGCACCAGAAUCACCAUCUAGUAUGACCACCCAAGCAAGCCAACAUGAAUUACUGGGUUUAUCCAGCACCACAAAACUUUGUUUGUCAAUAUUAAAAUAGACUAGCUGGG
rnacentral:lncRNA from 1 species